rnacentral:rRNA from 1 species
CGCUGGCGGCAGGCCUAACACAUGCAAGUCGAACGGUAGCACAGAGGAGCUUGCUCCUUGGGUGACGAGUGGCGGACGGGUGAGUAAUGUCUGGGAAACUGCCCGAUGGAGGGGGAUAACUACUGGAAACGGUAGCUAAUACCGCAUAACGUCGCAAGACCAAAGAGGGGGACCUUCGGGCCUCUUGCCAUCGGAUGUGCCCAGAUGGGAUUAGCUAGUAGGUGGGGUAACGGCUCACCUAGGCGACGAUCCCUAGCUGGUCUGAGAGGAUGACCAGCCACACUGGAACUGAGACACGGUCCAGACUCCUACGGGAGGCAGCAGUGGGGAAUAUUGCACAAUGGGCGCAAGCCUGAUGCAGCCAUGCCGCGUGUAUGAAGAAGGCCUUCGGGUUGUAAAGUACUUUCAGCGAGGAGGAAGGCGUUGUGGUUAAUAACCGCAA